CGCGCUGCCUCGGGGCGGGGUCACGUGGGCGGGUGGUGCUCCCGGCCGGGUGACCCAGGGAACCUCACUGGACAGGGCGCCCCAGCCCCGGGGCAGGCGACGAGGAAGAGAGCCGCUGAGGCUCACCUUGGAGCACACACCUGAGGCUGCACACCUGGCUCCUGGUCCAGUUUGGUGGUUUGAAGACCCACCACACGCAGCCCACCUGGAUGGGGUCCCACCUUAAAUUUGCAGCACACACUCUGAGGGUUUUGAAGCAAAACCAUGCCUGCUGCAGUGGAGAACUACUCCCUGGUUGAAGGCAACUUGUGGCGCACUUCUGGACUCGAGUAGAGACUCAGUGCCUGAUUAUGGGGCACCAAAUGGCCACGUGACCACAUCUGCCUGUCCUGAGCUAGAGAUCGACAGGUCCAUGAAGUCAACAGGUUAGGCAGGCUCAGUAGCAAUUCAUUGCACAGUGAAAAAGAAUUGGAUCCCAGCUUGUCCAGAGAGCACCAGUCAUUUAUAGGAUGAGGCGGCUGUGGCUUCCACGUCUCCUACGCUGUUGCCCCGAUGCCUCUGCCUUAGGAGACAGAAAGGAAAAUUCCGAUCUUCUGGUUCACAGGGAGAGAGUGGAGUGGACAGAGCUGUGGUCUAAGGAAAGAAUGCACGUGAAUUUCUGAGUGGUGACAGAUGUCUCUUUGGCUGCCCAGGGACGUGGGAAGAGCAAGAAGGGAAUGCUGGAGACAAGUCUGGGAAAGAUGAUGUGGAAGUCCUCACAAAUGUGUGCAUCUGUGUGCCUCAUGUUAAUGUCCACUGCAGAGGGGUCACCGAAUGACAAAAUGACUUGUUGCUUUGUCAGCUUCUGUCCUUGGCUACCCUUGUGCUUGGAUGGUGGGCCCAUGAAUGGAACUGCCAUGGUGGCAGCAGUGCUGGUUGUGUCUACUAGCGUGGGCUCUCUCUUAUCAAGACUUGUGUAAUUAUUACUGUGGCUGAAUUUCCGACCCCUGGUGUGGCACCAUCCCUGGAUGAUUCAGUGACAAGUUGGUUUCAGCAGAUCCUUUCCAUCCAGAAGAGGGCAUUGAUUCAUCCUUAAUGGAAGUGACACCUGCUCUGGAUGUGGGUUUGCUUUCCCAUAUCCACAUAUCCACAAUGUCUUAGGGAAGUAUCGCCAUCCAGAACCUUCAAGAAUGUUGGAUUUACCCACAUGGUAUCAUGCAUAAUAUUACUUUGGAUCAAAGAACUCAUUUUACAAUGAAAGAAAGAUGACAACAUUAUGAAUUGCCAUGGGAGCCACUGCUUCUCUAAUAUCCUGAAUUAGCCUCAAGCAGCCCAUCUGUUAGAAAGAUGGAAUGUUCUCUUAGAGACUUAGCAAAGGUCCCAGCUCUGGGACAGUAGCCUGAAGAGUGGGAUAUAUACCUUGAUUUAAAGCCCAGUGUGAGGUGCUGGGCCCCAGCGGAUACAACAUAUGGAUCCAGGAACAGACACAGGCCUAAGAGCCCAGGAUUGGGGAAAUCUCUCACCGUCGCUCUCAGCGAUCCGUUCGUAGAGUAUGUGCAUUCUGUCUCUAGCAUUAAACUCUGCUACACGGGUAGGGGAUAUUCCAUGAUGGGACCUCCACUGGUUGGAGGGAAGGGCACCCAUACCAGCCUCAGUGUGAACGUUCCAUGAGGUCACUGAACUCAUGCUUGUGAACCAGCAGAAAAAGGAGGGGAUAAUUGAUUUCUUUUUUUAAAAAAUAUUUAUUUAUUCAUGAGAGACACGGGGGUGGGGCAGAGACACAGGCAGAGGGAGAAGCAGGCUCCAUGCAGGGAGCCCGACACGGGACUCGAUCCCAGGACCCUGGGGUCACGCCCUGAGCUGAAGGUAGACGUCCGACCGCUGGGCCACUCAGGCGUCCCGAUAAUUGAUUUCUGAUGAUUGUGAGGAGAUCGGGUCUCUGCUGCUUAGGGACCAUCAAGAGCUUGCAUGGGACUUUGAGGAUUUACCUGGAUCUAUCUGGUUGCUUCCAUGCCAAGCGAUAACAGCGAAAAGCAUUUUCAUCGGCCUCAGCCUACCAAGGGCAAGAGAGGUUUCAUGAGUAACCCCAUGAAAUGCUGGCUAAGGGCGAGAGAAAUCUAGAAUAGGCAGGGAAGGAAAAUGAGUAUCAGAGCCCCAGGAGCAGCUGCAGGAGUGUGGACUAUUUUUGUUGUAUCGAGGCUUGCAUAGAGGCUGUGGCCAGGCUUCCUCUGGAAGACUCAUGACAGAUGGGACUUUCUGUGGUGCCCGAGUACAUCUGAGGGAUGUAUGUGCUGCUGUGCUGACUGAUGCCCUCGGCGCACCUUAAAUCACAGAGGAUCUGCAGAGCUACACUCUGGCACCUGCUGUGUGUCUUCAGCGUCUGCCCUCCUCUGAUGCCAGCACAGCCCAGGUGUCUGGAGGCGACCUCAGGGGCGGGGGACUGGAGGCAGUGGGUGAAUAAUGGGGCAGUCGCAGGAGGGCCGGUGAAGUCAGGGUUGUUCGCCGGCAGUGACCUCAGGAACACUGUGCUUUGGUUCCUCCUUUUCUUGCUCAGCCCCUCCCUCACUUCUGUUUCAGGAGAUCAGUUCCUGAACAAACCACGUACGCCCAAGUCUUCGUCAUAGGCUCUGCUUUCCAAAGAACCCAAACAAAGACACACCAUAAAAGAACAAAGAUUUUUGCCAAUUUAUAUCCACAAAAAAAAAAAAAAAAUACUGGAGAAUAUGUGUGGGGAUGGAUUACAAGGAUACAAAGCCAAGAACUAACUGUGGAUUAGUUCAAAUUUAUUAACAUGGGUGUAGUUACUCCAAAGAGAUUUUGGAUUCGGUGUUUUGGCUAAAUCCUGGGGAUUAGUUAUAACUGUGCUUAGCUGGCUGAACGGAGCCUGGACUCUGGUGGCCAGCCCCGUGAGACGGUGUGAACGUGCUGGAGUGGAUUUGUCGUGUGUAUGUGGCCCCCAGUCUCCUCUGUUUGUUUCCCUUCAUUAGUCCAUUAUGUUGAUUAAAGAAUAUGUUAGGUUACGUCAUGGGGAUGCCUGGGAGGCUCAGGGGUUGAGCGUCUGCCUCCGGCCCAGGGCGUGACCCCAGGGUCCCGGGAUCGAGUCCUGCAUCGGGCUCCCCACAGGGAGCCUGCUUCUCCCUCUGCCUGUGUCUCUGCCUCUCUAUGUGUGUCUCAGGAAUAAAUAAAUAAAAUCUUUAAAAACAAACAAACACCACCAACAGCAGAGCUAUAGUCUUUCACGGUUCUGGAGGCCCGAAGUUUGAAAUCCGGAUCAGUGGGCUGGAGUCAAGGUGGCAGGAGGGCUGCAGCCCCUCGGAGGCCCUGCCAUGGAAUCCGCCCCUUGCCCGUCUUCAGCCGUCGCCCACCGCUGCGGGCUCUGCGUCUUCCUCCGACAGUGAUCUGCUUCUCUUGUAAGGACACUUGUGAUCACAUCAGGAACACCUCCUCAUCUCCAAAGCCUUAAUGCAAUCAUUUCUGUGAGAUCCUUUUUCCGGAUAAGGUCUCAAGGACAGGCCCCAGGUUAGGAUGUAGACAGUUUCCUCUGCUCCUGCCCUCGGUGCUUCCAGCUCCUUGCUCCACGGGGUUCCAGUCCUGGGUAUUGCGGCUAAAAUGUUGAGCCCUUGCCUAAUUUUUCUCCCUUGGAUGUGAUUUCAGCCCGCAUGUUUGAAGAAGUGUGAUUAUGCCUGUUUAUUGAUGGAAAUGAUCCAGAAGAGAAGGAGACAUUGAUGAUGCAAGAGGGAAGGGCUUGGAUGGGCGACGAGAACAGCAGGAGGGUCACUAGCCUGGAGAUCUCUGGUCUCAGAACAUGGCCCCCAAUUCCUUGACACUCCUCCCACUGAGAGGUGGGUCUGUGAUCUCUUUCUCUCGAAUCGCGAUGUGCUCAGGACUGCUUUGACCAACAGGUAGGGCCAAAGUGAUGCCAUAGGACUUCCAAAGCUCUACCAGAAAGGCCAUGCAGUUUCUGCCUGGGCCUCCUAGGACACUCACUCUCGAGGAAGCCAGCCUUCUUGUGAAAAGUCCAAACACCCCGAGACCACCAUGCUGGGAAGGCCGGGGGAGGUUGCUGGUGGACAGUGCCAGCCGUGCUCUCAGCAAUAGUCACCAUCUCCGGGCAGCCUUGGAGCGGGCCCUCUUGGACAUCCAGGCCAGCUACUGCUGACUGUAACCACACCACACAAGAAGCCCCAGACAAUGACUUUUGAAUUCCAAAUUUAUGACUGCAAGACUGUAAGCAGAAUAAAAUGCUUGUUUUAAUCCACUAAA